rnacentral:rRNA from 1 species
AGUAAUCGCAGAUCAGAAUGCUGCGGUGAAUGCGUUCCCGGGUCUUGUACACACCGCCCGUCACACCACGGAAGUUGGGGCGCCCGAAGCCACUUAGCUAACCCUUUUGGGAAGCGAGUGUCGAAGGUGAAAAUCAAUAACUGGGGUGAAGUCGUAACAAGGUACC